AGAGUUUGAUCCUGGCUCAGGGUUAACGCUGGCGAUGUGCCUAAGACAUGCAAGUCGAACGGGACUUGUGUGUAACACAUGGAAUUAAUUAAAAAUUAGUUUCGUGUGUUAUACACGAGUUUAGUGGCGAACGGGUGAGUAAUAGAUACGAACAUACCUCAAAGAGGAGCAUAGCCUGCCGAAAGGCAGGGUAAUUUUCCAUAUUCCCUACGGGGGAAAGACGCAAGUCGCUUUGAGAAUGGCGUAUCCACUACCAGCUUGUUGGUGAGGUAAUGGCUCACCAAGGCUAUGACGGUUACCGGCUCUUAGCGGAGAGUCCGGCACAGUGAGACUGGGACACGGCUCACACACCUACGGGUGGCAGCAGUUAGGAAUUUUGCGCAAUGGACGAAAGUCUGACGCAGCGACAUCGCGUGAGGGAUGACGGCCUUUGGGUUGUAAACCUCUUUUAUUUUGACAUGAAGUCAAAUUGAAUAAGCAACUACUAACUACGUGCCAGCAGUCGCGGUAAUACGUAGGUUGCAAGCGUUACCCGGUUUUACUGGGCGUAAAGCGUCUGUAGGUUGUUUUU
rnacentral:rRNA from 1 species